rnacentral:rRNA from 1 species
AUUGAACGCUGGCGGCAGGCCUAACACAUGCAAGUCGAGCGAGCGGCGGACGGGUGAGUAACGUUUGGGAAACUGCCUGAUGGAGGGGGAUAACUACUGGAAACGGUAGCUAAUACCGCAUACCAUCAGAUGUGCCCUGAUGGGAUUAGCUAGUAGGUGGGGUAAUGGCUCGCCUUGGUGACGAUCCCUAGCUGGUCUGAGAGGCUGACCAGCCACACUGGGAAUGAGGCACGGUCCAGACUCCUACGGAGGGCAGCAGUGGUGAAUAUUGCACGAUGGGCGCAAGCCGGAUGCAGCCAUGCCGCGUGUGUGAAGAAGGCCUUCGGGUUGUAAAGCACUUUCAGCGGGGAGGCGUUACCCGCAGAAGAAGCACCGGCUGACUCCGUGCCAGCAGCCGCGGUAAUAC